GCCUAUGGUCACACCACCCUGAAAAUGCCUGAUCUCACCUGAUCUUGGAAGCUAAGCAGGGUAAGGCUUAGCUAGUACUUGGGUGGGAGAUGACCUGGGAAUCUGCUGCGCUGUAGGCU
ensembl:rRNA 5S_rRNA 5S ribosomal RNA